rnacentral:lncRNA from 1 species
AUGAUGACUCUCACUGGUGAUCCACUAGGAUGAAGUACAGAUGGAAUGUGAAGCACUGGCUUGUGUAGUAAUGGUGGCCACUUAAUGGGAUCAAACGAGGACCUCAUGCUUGCCAGGCAGGUGCUACGCUGCUGAGCUACAUCCCUAGUCCAGAAACUUCUUAAUCUCCAGACUAGCAAAAGACUCUCUCCUCCUUGCUAGAAGACAGCCUACCCUCACUUGGAAACAGCAAUAAGUGACUUGUAAGAUGAUGCUUAUCUUCCUCAGAACUACCUUACCUCCCCUCAUUGCCUGCAAACCAAAAAAUAGAUUCAGUUUAUACCACACCUCAACCGCCAUUCCCUGAGCUGUUUCUCCUCUGCCAUGCCCCUCUGCCAUACCACCCUGCCUUGAAGCCAGCUGAGACUGUGGACUGAAACAUCUAUAAACUGUGGGCCAAAAUAAACC